GUCCAGCUCCCCGCCAGGGCUGUACUCCCAGGAGGCGUUUGUGUACCGUGCUGAGGAGCGUUUCCGCGUGCCACCGAUGCUGCCGCCGCACCUCCUGCAAGUCAUCCUCAACAAGGACACCAACAUCUCGUGUGACCCUGCCCUGCUGCCCGAGCCAAACCACGUGAUGCUGAACCAUCUCUACGCCCUGUCCAUCAAGGACGGUGUGAUGGUGCUGAGCGCCACGCACCGCUUCAAGAAGAAGUACGUCACCACGCUCAUGUACAAGCCCAUCUGAGCCCCCCGCGUGCCAGGUGCCGGCCAUACCGCGGCCCAGCCGCUCGCCUCUGCAAUCGGCGCCUGCCACCCCGCGGCCUGCGGAGGCCGGCCAGGGCCCGGAGGGCCGGCCAGGGCCCUGAGGCCGGCCAGGGCCCAGGUCCCGUUCUAGCAUCUUUGAUGGCACCCAAAGUUUUGUGUAUAGAGCUCGAUACAAAAUAAAAUAAAACUACGUCUAUGAUUACCACA